rnacentral:rRNA from 1 species
ACUCCUACGGGAGGCAGCAGUGAGGAAUUUUCUGCAAUGGGCGAAAGCCUGACAGAGCAAUACCGCGUGAGGGAAGAAGGCUUACUGAGUUGUAAACCUCUGUUAUCUAAGGAGGAAGAUCUGACGUUACUUAGGAGACGAAGCAUCGGCUAACUCCGUGCCAGCAGCCGCGGUAAU